UCCCGGAGGAAACACCUCCCCUCAUUGUCGGCCUCCUCCCCAUCAAUCACCUCCUUGUGCCUCUUGAGCAGGGUUAGAAAUUCCGGAACGAAAUUUCGGGUGUUUCGGUGGGGCCCGAUAAUAAGUGACCUCCACCCAUCCGCCUCCCCUCAUUGCACCGCACCCACGCACCGUAUCCAGAUCGAAAAAAAAAUCGCCAUCUCGCCGCCUUGCCGGUUCGACGCCAGUCGCCGCCUCGACGCAGCCCACCGCCGGAGCUGCACGCCCCCCUCCUAGCUGUCGCCCCCAGCUGUCACCCGCUCCACAGCACCGCGUGGGUGGCGGUGUGCCUCUCCAGGUGACGGCGGCUGCGCUCUAGAUUCUAGGACUGAUUUUCCGAGGUCUGCCUCGACAACGACGGCUUCCACGGCUGAGCACUUCACCACCACCCACAUCAGAGCAGUGAGACUAGUGACAGGGGUCGCGCCGCCACGAGACGAAGGGCGUCCGUUGCUGCCAUGACCGCAGCACUGCCGCCACCGACGAUGACCACCGCCACCACAGGCUUUUGGAGGAAGGCAACAGUUGCUUGAGAAGCCUAGUUGCGAUUGUAAAUUGAUGUGAACGCGGCAAUUUGAUGUCUUUAUUAUUGAUUCCAGACUGAUUAAUUUGUCCAAUUGAGAAUGUUCGAUUA